rnacentral:rRNA from 1 species
GGUAGGAAGUGUAUUGUACUUUCUAGACUAUGACGGGUAACGAAAAAUAAGGGUUUGAUUUCGGAGAAGGAGCCUGAGAGACGGCUACUACAUCUAAGGAAGGCAGCAGGCGCGCAAAUUUCCCAUUGCUUAUCAUAUAAUGUAAGCGAGGAAGUGACGAUCAAUAACAAUGUGUGACUCUUUAUGGGUUAUGCAAUUGGAAUGACUACAAUUUAAAGAGUUUAAGAAGGAUCAAUUGGAGGGCAAGUCUGGUGCCAGCAGCCGCGGUAAUUCCAGCUCCAAUAGGAUAUAUCAAAGUUGUUGCAGUUAAAAAGCUCGUAGUUGAAUUUCUGGAAGGUAGAAGUGUUUUUUUUAGAGAAGCAAUUUUUUAUAAAAGACACCGCUUUCCAUUUUGUGGAUUUCUGUUUUGUAUGAAGAUAGUUUACUCUAUUUUUAUAUAAAAUACCACUCCGUCACUGAGAGCAAAUUGGAGUGCUCAAAGCAGGCUUUAUUAGCUUUGAACAUUUUAGCUUGGAAUGACAAGAUAUGACUUUUGUUUUAUUUUGUUGGUUAUGAAAUAAAAGUAAUGAUUAACAGGAACAGUUGCGGGGGUACUCGUAUUGAAAGGUCAGAGGUGAAAUUCUUGGAUUCUUUCAAGACGAACGACUGCGAAAGCAUUUACCAAGGAUGUUUUCAUUAAUCAAGAACGAAAGCUCGGGGAUCGAAGAUGAUUAGAUACCAUCGUAGUCCGACGCCAUAAACGAUGCCGACUCGGGAUUAUUUUGCUUGUUUAAAAUAAAAAAGAACACAAAGUAGCACCGUAUGAGAAAUCAAAGUCUUUGGGUUCCGGGGGGAGUAUGGUCGCAAGGCUGAAACUUAAAGGAAUUGACGGAAGGGGACACCAGAGGUGGAGCCUGCGGUUUAAUUUGACCCAACACGGGGAAACUUACCAGGUCCAGACAUGAUGAGGAUUGACAGUUUGAAAGCACUUUCUUGAUUUCAUGGGUGGUGGUGCAUGGCCGUUCUUAGUUGGUGGAGUGAUUUGUCUGGUUGAUUCCGAUAACGAACGAGCGGGGUGAAUUUACUAGUUUGUUAUAUAAUUUACGUUAUAUAAGACUUCUUUAUUCGACAACUUGGUUUUACCAAGAGGAAGCGCCCCGCAAUAACAGGUCUGUGAUGCCCUUAGGUGUUCUGGGCUACACGCGCGCUACAAUGACGAAUUCAACGAGUUUAAAAUUAAUUCCUUAUCCGGAAGGAUGUGGGUAAUCUUUUCAAUAUUCGUCGUGAUGGGGCUAGAUUUUUGCAAUUAUUAAUCUUCAACGAGGAAUCUCUAGUAUGUGCAAGU